CCGAUCCCCAAAGCAAUGUGUGUUUGUCAAACCAUGGAAGUGAGGCAGUAUGGCAAGAACGCAAGUCGGGCCGGAGUUGGAGGAGUUUUCCUGGAGCCCUUUAUCCAUCAGGUGGGCGGACACAGCAGCAUGAUGCGGUAUAAGGAUCACACUGUGUGCAAACCUCUCAUCUCACGGGAACAGCGCUUCUACGAGUCACUCCCUCCCGAAAUGAAGGAAUUCACCCCAGAAUACAAAGGCGUGGUUUCUGUCUGUUUUGAGGGAGACAGUGAUGGUUACAUCAACUUGGUAGCCUACCCUUAGGUGGAGAGUGAAACUAGAGCAAGAUGACACACCAGAGCGGGAGCAACCGCGGCGCAAACACGCUGGAGCCUGCAUCGGUCUGGCUGUGGUAGUGACCACAAGGAGAAGAAAGCCAGCCUGUCCUUUGAGACCUCUGAGAGCUCCCAGGAGGCAAAGAGUCCAAAGGUGGAGCCGCACAGCCACUCAGAUGUCCCUUUCCAGAUGCUAGACAGCGAUAGCGGUCUGAGCUCUGAGAAGAUCAGCUACAACCCCUGGAGCCUGCGUUGCUGCAAGCAGCAGCUGAGCCGCAUGCGCUCGGAGUCCAGGGACCGAAAACUCUGCAAGUUCCUCCUACUUGAGAAUGUGGUACACCACUUCAAGUACCCGUGUGUGCUGGACUUGAAGAUGGGUACCCGGCAGCAUGGGGAUGAUGCUUCAGCUGAGAAGGCAGCCUGGCAGAUGAGGAAGUAUGAGCAGAGCACAUCGGCCACGCUGGGGGUCAGGGUCUGUGGCAUGCAGAUGUACCAGCUAGACACAGGUCAUUACCUCUGCAGGAAUAAGUACUAUGGUCGUGGACUCUCCAUCGAAGGCUUCCUCAAUGCUCUCUAUCAGUAUCUGCACAAUGGCUUGGACCUGCGAUGUGACCUUUUUGAGCCUAUCCUGAGCAAACUGCGGGGCCUCAAAGCUGUGCUGGAGCAGCAGGCCUCCUACCUCUUCUACUCCAGUUCCCUGCUUGUCAUCUAUGAUGGCAAGGAGUGCCGAUCUGAGCUACGUCUCAAGCACGUGGACAUGGGGUUCCCUGAGGUGCCACCCCUCUGUGGCCCCAGCUCCAGCCCUAGCAACACCAAUCUUGAGGCUGGCCCCUCUUCUCCGCCCAAGGUGGAUGUCCGCAUGAUUGACUUCGCACACAGCACAUUCAAAGGCUUCCGGGAUGACCCCACAGUUCACGAUGGGCCAGACAGAGGCUUUGUGUUUGGCUUGGAGAAUCUUAUCAGCAUCAUGGAGCAGAUGCAGGAUGAGAACCAGUAGGCCCAGUUCUGGGCCCUAGGACCCCUUCCUCUCCACCCACAGGCAGGGACCAUUGCUCUGAACUUGCUGUG